rnacentral:rRNA from 1 species
CCUACGGGAGGCAGCAGUGGGGAAUAUUGGACAAUGGGCGAAAGCCUGAUCCAGCCAUGCCGCGUGUGUGAAGAAGGCCUUCGGGUUGUAAAGCACUUUCAGUGGGGAAGAAAGCCUUGGGGCUAAUACCCUCGAGGAAGGACAUCACCCACAGAAGAAGCACCGGCUAACUCCGUGCCAGCAGCCGCGGUAAUACGGAGGGUGCGAGCGUUAAUCGGAAUUACUGGGCGUAAAGCGCGCGUAGGCGGUCUGAUAAGCCGGUUGUGAAAGCCCCGGGCUCAACCUGGGAACGGCAUCCGGAACUGUCAGGCUAGAGUGCAGGAGAGGAAGGUAGAAUUCCCGGUGUAGCGGUGAAAUGCGUAGAGAUCGGGAGGAAUACCAGUGGCGAAGGCGGCCUUCUGGACUGACACUGACGCUGAGGUGCGAAAGCGUGGGUAGCAAACAGGAUUAGAACCCCAGUAGUC